UGGGGAAUAUUGGACAAUGGGCGCAAGCCUGAUCCAGCCAUGCCGCGUGAGUGACGAAGGCCUUAGGGUUGUAAAGCUCUUUUGGCGGGGAAGAUAAUGACGGUACCCGCAGAAUAAGCUCCGGCUAACUUCGUGCCAGCAGCCGCGGUAAUACGAAGGGAGCUAGCGUUGUUCGGAAUCACUGGGCGUAAAGCGCACGUAGGUGGGCAGUUAAGUCAGGGGUGAAAGCCCGAGGCUCAACCUCGGAAUUGCCUCUGAUACUGGCUGUCUAGAGUUCGAGAGAGGUGAGUGGAAUUCCUAGUGUAGAGGUGAAAUUCGUAGAUAU
rnacentral:rRNA from 1 species